AGUGAACGCUGGCGGUAGGCCUAACACAUGCAAGUCGAACGGCAGCACAGUAAGAGCUUGCUCUUACGGGUGGCGAGUGGCGGACGGGUGAGGAAUACAUCGGAAUCUACUUUUUCGUGGGGGAUAACGUAGGGAAACUUACGCUAAUACCGCAUACGACCUACGGGUGAAAGCAGGGGUUCUUCGGACCUUGCGCGAUUGAAUGAGCCGAUGUCGGAUUAGCUAGUUGGCGGGGUAAAGGCCCACCAAGGCGACGAUCCGUAGCUGGUCUGAGAGGAUGAUCAGCCACACUGGAACUGAGACACGGUCCAGACUCCUACGGGAGGCAGCAGUGGGGAAUAUUGGGCAAUGGGCGAAAGCCUGAUCCAGCCAUACCGCGUGAGUGAAGAAGGCCUUCGGGUUGUAAAGCCCUUUUGUUGGGAAAGAAAAGCAGCAGGUUAAUACCCCGCUGUUCUGACGGUACCCAAAGAAUAAGCACCGGCUAACUUCGUG
rnacentral:rRNA from 1 species